rnacentral:rRNA from 1 species
CCUACGGGUGGCAGCAGUGAGGAAUAUUGGUCAAUGGGAGAGAUCCUGAACCAGCCAAGCCGCGUGAGGGAAGACGGCCCUAUGGGUUGUAAACCUCUUGUGUCGGAGAACAAAACCCGGGACGUGUCCCGGACUACGUGUAUCCGAAGACAAAGCAUCGGCAAACUCCGUGCCAGCAUCCGCGGUAAUACGGAGGAUGCGAGCGUGAACCGGAUUUAUUGGGUUAAAGGGGUGCGUAGGCGGUCCGUUAAGUCAGCGGUAAAAUUGCGGGGCUAAACCCCGUCGAGCCGUUGAAACUGGCUGACUUGAGUUGGAGAGAAGCACACGGAAUGCGCGGUGUAGCGGUGAAAGGCAUAGAUAUCGCGCAGAACUCCGAUUGCGAAGGCAGCGUACCGGCGACAGACUGACGCUGAGGCACGAAAGCGUGGGGAUCGAACAGGAUUAGAUACCCCAGUAGUC